rnacentral:rRNA from 1 species
AAACAUAAACCUUUUGUAAUUGCAAUCAGCGUCAGUAACAAAUUAAUAAUUACAACUUUCAACAACGGAUCUCUUGGUUCUGACAUCGAUGAAGAACGCAGCGAAAUGCGAUAAGUAGUGUGAAUUGCAGAAUUCAGUGAAUCAUCGAAUCUUUGAAC